rnacentral:tRNA from 1 species
UUCGGGGUGGCAGAGUAUAUGCGGCAGAAUUAGAAUCUGCAGAUGAGUGAAAAACUCCCCUGAAA